rnacentral:rRNA from 1 species
AGAGUUUGAUCAUGGCUCAGAACGAACGCUGGCGGCGUGCCUAACACAUGCAAGUCGUACGAGAAAUCCUGGGCAACCGGGAGAGUAAAGUGGCGCACGGGUGAGCAACGCGUGGGUAACCUACCCUUGAAUUGGGGAUAACUCCUCGAAAGGGGAGUUAAUACCGAAUAAUAUUCCGAUUUCCACGGGAGCCGGAAUCAAAGGUGGCCUCUGCAUGCAAGCUAUCAUUUAAGGAUGGGCCCGCGUACCAUUAGCUCGUUGGUAGGGUAAUGGCCUACCAAGGCAACGAUGGUUAGCUGGUCUGAGAGGAUGGCCAGCCACACUGGAACUGAGACACGGUCCAGACUCCUACGGGAGGCAGCAGUGGGGAAUCUUGCGCAAUGGGGGAAACCCUGACGCAGCAACGCCGCGUGGGUGAUGAAGGCCUUCGGGUCGUAAAGCCCUGUCAGGUGGGAAGAAACUCGUGGAUGCUAAUAUCAUCCGCGCUUGACGGUACCACCGGAGGAAGCACCGGCUAACUCCGUGCCAGCAGCCGCGGUAAUACGGAGGGUGCAAGCGUUGUUCGGAAUUAUUGGGCGUAAAGCGCGUGUAGGUGGUCGGGUAAGUCAGAUGUGAAAACCUUCUGCUUAACAGAAGAAGUGCAUUUGAGACUGCUCGGCUAGAGUACGGGAGAGGAGAGUGGAAUUCCCGGUGUAGAGGUGAAAUUCGUAGAUAUCGGGAGGAACACCAGUGGCGAAAGCGGCUCUCUGGUCCGAUACUGACGCUGAGACGCGAAAGCGUGGGGAGCAAACAGGAUUAGAUACCCUGGUAGUCCACGCCGUAAACGAUGGGCACUAGGUGUAGGAGGUAUUGACCCCUUCUGUGCCGAAGCUAACGCAUUAAGUGCCCCGCCUGGGGAGUACGGCCGCAAGGCUAAACUUAAAUGAAUUGACGG